rnacentral:rRNA from 1 species
GUAGUUAGCCGGGGCUUUCUUACAGGGUACCGUCACUUCUUCGUCCCCUGCGACAGAGGUUUACAAUCCGAAAACCUUCUUCCCUCACGCGGCGUUGCUGGGUCAGGCUUGCGCCCAUUGCCCAAUAUUCCCCACUGCUGCCUCCCGUAGGAGUCUGGACCGUGUCUCAGUUCCAGUGUGGCCGAUCAGCCUCUCAGCUCGGCUACCCAUCGUCGGCUUGGUGGGCUGUUAUCUCACCAACUAGCUAAUGCGCCGCGGGCCCAUCUCAUAGCGGAUUGCUCCUUUGAUUAUUAAAAGAUGCCUUUCAAUAAUGUUAUGCGGUAUUAAUCUCCCUUUCGGGAGGCUAUUCCCCCUCUAUGAGGCAGGUUGCCCACGUGUUACUCACCCGUCCGCCGCUAGAAAAGCUCCGAAGAACUUUUCUCGCUCGACUUGCAUGUGUUAAGCACGCCGCCAGCCGUUCAUCCUGAGCCAGAAUCGAACCCUGA